AAGAGCUUAAAUAUAUUAUCACAUCAGGGUUUCUUCUCCGACCGAAUGAAUGAAAUCGGGUCAGGGAUCCGAGAUAUCAGGUACUCAACUCCAACCCAAGCACAGAUAGCCUAGUCGUUUGAGCUAACCAACCUCCCAUCCUUGCCGUGCUCGUUGGCUUUCAUUGCGUUGCGGGUUUGUUCGUCAAAACAAAAUAUACAACAAUUCAAAGUUGGUGGUCCUAAUAAAUUCAAGUUAAUAUGAGUCAAAUCUGCACUACGAAACUAGGUAAGGGCAAGAGGAAAGUCGACCAACCAUGAGUACGGAGAGCGUGAAGCGGAGCGUGAAGCGGAGCGUACAUGUUUGGCGUGCCUGGCUGCCACAGCCAAGGGUAUUUUUGGGAAAUGAUUGAACUAAACUCAGAUUUUGUCGUCUAGUCGACUUUGGUUGUAAUUAUAUGUUGUAAAUAUUUCUAAACAGUAUUUUGGGAUCCCAAAUGUCAAACACUUUAUGAUUUUCAGUAAAUGGAAUUAUUUUCAAAGUUUAUAA